AGCACGAUUCUUAUAAUGAGAUCUAAAUGGGACCGUUGUUCACUUUCUUAAGUGUGAUAAAGAUCCAGCAAGGAGCGUCCCAGAUGGAGUACAUGGAGACCGUGACUGUGAAAGAUGAGGAUCAAGUGCAGAUUUGGUGGCCUCUGAUUGCCAGUAUCUGGCAGCCACAUUCUCUUCCCACAAGAUGUGCUGGAAAUAUGACCAGGCAGAAGUUCACUUAAGUGAAUCCAACAGUUAAACCUACCAUGGAAGGGUGUGGUGCACAGAGGGCGUGUGAAGAAGAGAAGACCACAGUGGGAACCUCCAAGGAAUUAACAUCUAGCUGGGGAUGAGGGGGGAUUUGGCUAUGUAGAGAGUAAAUAAAGUGAUAUUAGAA
rnacentral:lncRNA from 1 species